rnacentral:lncRNA from 1 species
GAACAGAUGAACAGCACUACAACAAGACUACCAGUAAGCUGAUAAAGCAUAUAUUUCAGGUCAAAAUUAUCAACAAGAUCGAAAACAGCUACAAGGUGACGGAUAACAAAAUAACUUCCUGGUCCAACAAGAUAGAUCUGUAUUGGACACUCCCACACCCUCUUUAUCUGCAUCUUGGUCCGCGGCAUCACAGGCUAUAUUUGCAGCUCCCGUGUCGCAUGAAUCGCCCAUCCCUUUGCUAGUCUCUCCUCCCCCUUCGUAAUCCAUGUGGCCUCUAGCUUGUCCCAUUGGCAGAGAAGAAAUCAACUCGGCCCCCGCAUCAACAGUUCCACUCGCGCCGGCGACCAGCUCUCUUAAGACAACCCCUCUGACCAAACGCAGUACGAGCCUGCACAGGCAAUUGAGAGCCAGCCAGAUCUGAUUUUUUUUAGAUGAACAAGACAGGGGAAACUUCAAUCCAUCGAACUCCGGUUUAACAAAUAACUCCCAAAUAGCCGAAACUUAGACGAGAAGUAGGGUUUUUUCAGAAGAUUACCCUGCUCCUGCUUCCUCAAAGAAGAACUCCAUGCCGUCCAUGGCGAGAAGCAGCGCUCACCCCUGGCCGGUGUAUAGGUCGACUGCCCAAACAGGCC